UGUCUGCAUGUCACACACGUACUGUACAGUAAACUGCUCUAAUCAUAAGUAAAUAUGCUACCUAGAAAUGCAAGUAGCAAAUUUACUCGUGAGUUACUGAGCAGCAGCAAAUG